rnacentral:lncRNA from 1 species
AUUGAAUUUAGUACUUUUUUUAAUCUAAGAGUAUAUUUAUUUAAUUUGGUUAUUUAUUGAAUUUAGUACUUUAUGUUGUUUCAAAUUUGUUUAAUUUAGUACUUUAUUCAAAACACAUUUAAACACACCAAAUAAAAUAACAUCAACACACUGAUGCGAUGAAAGUUAAGCACUCAAAUUAAAUCCUCUUGUUGUCAAAUUGUAGUAUAAAUGCAAGUAGGGAUCGUUCUAAACCGGGGAUUAGGAAGGCUUGCUAAAACCUCUAAACUAACUCAAAGACAUAAAAACAAAGUUAAAAACGUUUGAAUAGACUCAAAUGACUCAAAACAGAUUCUAAAGACGCAAAACAACUUAAAAAAACACUCAAAAUUGCCUAAAAACACUUACUGGGCAGAUUUGACUCUACACAACUUUGGACGAAAUUUGGGUUUUGACUUGAAUCAAAACACUAAAAAACACUAACGAAAUAUAAAUUUAACACUUUGAAACAACAAAGUAAAAGGGGGAUUUUGGUUUUGACGAAUUCGAAACGAACAAACAACUUAUAAAAUUAGACAGAUUGUAAAGCGAAUUUAAGAAAUGAGAUGAUGGAUGGAUUAGUUAGAGGUCCGUUCUUCGCACAUGACACACUUGUACAUGAAUGGAUUUCCAAUUUCUUUUCAAUAAACUAUGAUGCUCAACACCCCAGAUUAACUGUGAUGCACAAAUUAACCCUCAGAUUUUCCUUUACUCAUUAAAUUGGAUGAAUGCAUGCGACAACCCAAAUCAUUCUCUAAAAGUCCCCUAUAUGAAUGCAUAAUAGAGAUACAAUCAGAGAUCAUUACGUUUAAUGAAAAUCAUAAGUGUUGACGAGGCAAUUAUAACUAUGAAUGCAUGAUACAAUUGCCAAGAAUUCAAUUAACGCGAUUGUGAUAAACAACCUUCACUACUCAUGAUAAAUAUAAACUUGUAACGAUUGGGUGAAACUCAUUUAUAUUCUAGCAUCUAAUUCAUGCAUGAAACUAAGUAUGCAUCCUUAAUAAACAUACAAGAAUCAGUUAUGAAUAAAAUAGAUAAUUGAAUUGCAAUCACAACUUAUCAAAUCACAAUUGGAAGAAAUCAAUUCAAAUCUCAAGCAUGUUCAUGGCUUCAAACUUCCCCCUAACUAAAUAGGGGUUUAGCCACUCAUAAUUGCAACAAAAUUAGAAAAUAACAAAGUAGACAUUGAAAGCAAGAACGAAGUACACCUAAAACGCUCCAAAGUUCCAAGCUUGAAAUGCCAAGGACCUUUGUUUUCACCACCUUGUUGUAGCACAAGUGUCUAGGAUGUGUAUGGAUAUAUGGAUGGAAUGGAUUUGCACGGCUAAGAGAUGAAAGUGUAUGGAUUGGUGAGAUGUAGUAUGGCUAGAUGAAUGGAUGGAGGUCACGGCAAGGAAAUUGUGUUUGUGAACGAAGUUGUGAGAUGUGAAAUGUAG